GCUCAGGAUGAACGCUGGCGGCGUGCUUAACACAUGCAAGUCGAACGGUGAAGCCCAGCUUGCUGGGUGGAUCAGUGGCGAACGGGUGAGUAACACGUGAGCAACCUGCCCCUGACUCUGGGAUAAGCGCUGGAAACGGCGUCUAAUACUGGAUACGAGUAGCGACCGCAUGGUCAGCUACUGGAAAGAUUUAUUGGUUGGGGAUGGGCUCGCGGCCUAUCAGCUUGUUGGUGAGGUAAUGGCUCACCAAGGCGUCGACGGGUAGCCGGCCUGAGAGGGUGACCGGCCACACUGGGACUGAGACACGGCCCAGACUCCUACGGGAGGCAGCAGUGGGGAAUAUUGCACAAUGGGCGCAAGCCUGAUGCAGCAACGCCGCGUGAGGGAUGACGGCCUUCGGGUUGUAAACCUCUUUUAGCAGGGAAGAAGCGAAAGUGACGGUACCUGCAGAAAAAGCGCCGGCUAACUACGUGCCAGCAGCCGCGGUAAUACGUAGGGCGCAAGCGUUAUCCGGAAUUAUUGGGCGUAAAGAGCUCGUAGGCGGUUUGUCGCGUCUGCUGUGAAAUCCGGAGGCUCAACCUCCGGCCUGCAGUGGGUACGGGCAGACUAGAGUGCGGUAGGGGAGAUUGGAAUUCCUGGUGUAGCGGUGGAAUGCGCAGAUUCAGGAGGAACACCGAUGGCGAAGGCAGAUCUCUGGGCCGUAA
rnacentral:rRNA from 1 species